AGUGUAGGCGGUUACUUAAGUCGGAUGUGAAAGCCCUGGGCUCAACCUGGGAAUGGCAUUCGAUACUGGGUAACUAGAGUUUGGUAGAGGUAAGUGGAAUUCCGGGUGUAGCGGUGAAAUGCGUAGAUAUCCGGAGGAACACCAGUGGCGAAGGCGGCUUCCUGGAUCAAAACUGACGCUGAGGCUCGAAAGCGUGGGGAGCAAACAGGAUUAGAUACCCGAGUAGUCC
rnacentral:rRNA from 1 species